rnacentral:rRNA from 1 species
GACGAACGCUGGCGGCGUGCCUAAUACAUGCAAGUAGAACGCUGAAGGAGGAGCUUGCUUCUCUGGAUGAGUUGCGAACGGGUGAGUAACGCGUAGGUAACCUGCCUGGUAGCGGGGGAUAACUAUUGGAAACGAUAGCUAAUACCGCAUAAGAGUAGAUGUUGCAUGACAUUUGCUUAAAAGGUGCAAUUGCAUCACUACCAGAUGGACCUGCGUUGUAUUAGCUAGUUGGUGGGGUAACGGCUCACCAAGGCGACGAUACAUAGCCGACCUGAGAGGGUGAUCGGCCACACUGGGACUGAGACACGGCCCAGACUCCUACGGGAGGCAGCAGUAGGGUAUCUUCGGCAAUGGACGGAAGUCUGACCGAGCAACGCCGCGUGAGUGAAGAAGGUUUUCGGAUCGUAAAGCUCUGUUGUAAGAGAAGAACGAGUGUGAGAGUGGAAAGUUCACACUGUGACGGUAUCUUACCAGAAAGGGACGGCUAACUACGUG